UACGGAGGGGGCAAGCGUUGUCCGGAAUCAUUGGGCGUAAAGCGCGUGUAGGCGGCUCGGUAAGUCCGCUCUGAAAGUCCGGGGCUCAACCCCGGGAGGCGGGUGGAUACUGUCGAGCUAGAGUCCGGAAGAGGAGUGUGGAAUUCCCGGUGUAGCGGUGAAAUGCGCAGAUAUCGGGAAGAACACCCGUGGCGAAGGCGGCACUCUGGGACGGUACUGACGCUGAGACGCGAAAGCGUGGGGAGCGAACAGG
rnacentral:rRNA from 1 species